rnacentral:rRNA from 1 species
UGCCAGACUCCUACGGGAGGCAGCAGUGAGGAAUAUUGGUCAAUGGUCGGGAGACUGAACCAGCCAAGCCGCGUGAGGGAGGAAGGUACAGAGUAUCGUAAACCUCUUUUGUCAGGGAACAAAGGCGGGGACGUGUCCCCGGAUGAGUGUACCUGAAGAAAAAGCAUCGGCUAACUCCGUGCCAGCAGCCGCGGUAAUACGGAGGAUGCGAGCGUUAUCCGGAUUUAUUGGGUUUAAAGGGAGUGCAGGCGGUUCAAUAAGGCUGAUGUAAAAGCCGUCGGCCCAACCGGAGGACCGCCGUUGAAACUGGCAGUCUCGAGUUGGAGAGAAGUAUGCGGAAUGCGCGGUGUAGCGGUGAAAUGCAUAGAUAUCGCGCAGAACUCCGAUUGCGAAGGCAGCAUGCCGGCUCCACACUGACGCUGAGGCACGAAAGCGUGGGUAUCGAACAGGAUUAGAUACCCGCGUAA